rnacentral:rRNA from 1 species
UGGGGAAUAUUGCACAAUGGACGGAAGUCUGAUGCAGCAACGCCGCGUGCGGGAUGACGGCCUUCGGGUUGUAAACCGCUUUUUCUCAUGACGAAGUUUUUUGACGGUAGUGGGGGAAGAAGCACCGGCUAACUACGUGCCAGCAGCCGCGGUGAUACGUAGGGUGCGAGCGUUGUCCGGAAUUAUUGGGCGUAAAGAGCUUGUAGGCGGUUUGUCGCGUCGAUAGUGCAAACUCAGUGCUUAACGCUGAGCCUGCUGUUGAUACGGGCAGACUAGAGGAAGGUAGGGGAGAAUGGAAUUCCCGGUGGAGCGGUGGAAUGCGCAGAUAUCGGGAGGAACACCUGUGGCGAAGGCGGUUCUCUGGGCCUUUCCUGACGCUGAGAAGCGAAAGCGUGGGGAGCGAACAGG